UACGAAGGGGGCUAGCGUUGUUCGGAAUUACUGGGCGUAAAGCGCACGUAGGCGGACUAUUAAGUCAGGGGUGAAAUCCCGGGGCUCAACCCCGGAACUGCCUUUGAUACUGGUAGUCUCGAGUCCGGAAGAGGUGAGUGGAACUCCGAGUGUAGAGGUGAAAUUCGUAGAUAUUCGGAAGAACACCAGUGGCGAAGGCGGCUCACUGGUCCGGUACUGACGCUGAGGUGCGAAAGCGUGGGGAGCAAACAGG
rnacentral:rRNA from 1 species